rnacentral:lncRNA from 1 species
UGGGAUCUAGUUUUGAAGAUUUUGUCGUGACAAAGCCUGCGAUGAAAAAGGAUCAUCAUUCGAAUUAGCAGCUUUAAAGAUAAAAUAUUUUGUAUUUCAAAUAUUAGAACAAAUUUUGAUGAUAUCAUUGUAUGCAUGCAAGGUGGAGAGAAAAAAACUUAGCUGUAGUAUGGCAGUACUUAUGGCAAUUGGUGCUAGCGAAUGAUGUGCAUGUAUACAAGUAAAAAAAAAAUUUGCUUUGCUUUGCUAACGGCAGCACCGCACGGAAGUAACUGUGUGCGGCGCCGCUGCCUAUCCGGGCCAAAAAAUCCGAGUUGACAUACACUCAUGAAAUCAUGGUGAGUGCAUCAGUCAUUACAUUAUUUUAUUCAAAUAGGCUAAUUUACACUAUAUUCUAGUAAUGCACACCCUUAUUUGCCGGUGUGGGUGGUGAGUUUGGGCAGUGUUUCAGGCACUCCUUGCGGGAAUGAAAACACGGUAGUCCUUCCAAUGCGAGACAGCAUUGGCACGCAGUGAUAUAAGGUUCAUGGCUGCUAUCCUUACAAUCUCUAUCAACACAAAAUUUCACGGCAAGUUUGUUCUCAGCUAAUGAUGAGACCACCAUAGUCAUGUUGGCAUGGCCAUCUUCUAAGGUGUUCUCAGGCUCA